CAACGACUCUCGGCAACGGAUAUCUCGGCUCUCGCAUCGAUGAAGAACGUAGCGAAAUGCGAUACUUGGUGUGAAUUGCAGAAUCCCGUGAACCAUCGAGUCUUUGAACGCAAGUUGCGCCAUAAAGCCGUCAGGCCGAGGGCACGUCUGCCUGGGCGUCACGC
rnacentral:rRNA from 1 species